UCCGAGUUGACCCCGGCAGUCUCCUAUGGGUCCCCACCAUCACGUGCUGGCAACAUAGAACAAGGGUUGCGCUCGUUGCGGGACUUAACCCAACAUCUCACGACACGAGCUGACGACAACCAUGCACCACCUGUGCAGGACCCCGAAGGACACCGUAUCUCUACGGCUUUUCCCUGCAUGUCAAGCCUAGGUAAGGUUCUUCGCGUUGCAUCGAAUUAAACCACAUGCUCCGCUGCUUGUGCGGGCCCCCGUCAAUUCCUUUGAGUUUUAAUCUUGCGACCGUACUCCCCAGGCGGAUGACUUCGCGCGUUAGCUGCGUUACUAAAGGAUUUAACUCCUCCAACAACUAGUCAUCAUCGUUUAGGGCGUGGACUAC
rnacentral:misc_RNA from 1 species